UUCCAAUUAGCUCAGUUGGUAGAGCAUGAGACUGUUAAUCACAGGGUCAUGGGUUUGAGCCCCACAUCGCGUGAAA